rnacentral:rRNA from 1 species
UACCGUCACGUCUACAUCAUUUUAAUAACAUAGAUUCUUCUUCCCUCUCCAACAGGGCUUUACGACCCGAGGGCCUUCAUCACCCACGCGGCGUCGCUGCGUCAGGGUUUCCCCUAUUGCGCAAUAUUCCCCA